UACAGAGGGGGCAAGCGUUAUUCGGAAUUAUUGGGCGUAAAGGGCGCGUAGGCGGCCGGACAAGUGGAAGGUGAAAUCCCCGAGCUCAACUCGGGAACUGCCCUCCAAACUGUUUGGCUUGAGUCCGGGAGAGGUGAGUGGAAUUCCCAGUGUAGCGGUGAAAUGCGCAGAUAUCAGGAAGAACACCAAUGGCGAAGGCAGCUCUCUGGGACGGUACUGACGCUGAGACGCGAAAGCGUGGGGAGCGAACAGG
rnacentral:rRNA from 1 species